rfam:Picoides pubescens contig20725, whole genome shotgun sequence.
ACUGGAGGACUGCUCAAGCUGUGCCUGAUGAGUGAGGCUCAGCUGACAGUGGCCUCCUAGAAGAAAAGGGAUGGAGAGACCCAGUCCUGCUUACAGGAGAGCAAAGGACUGGACUGUGCCAUCCAACACUC